GUGCCAGCCGCCGCGGUAAUACGGAGGGUGCAAGCGUUACCCGGAAUCACUGGGCGUAAAGAGCUCGUAGGCGGUUCGUCGCGUCGGCUGUGAAAACCCGGAGCUCAACUCCGGGCCUGCAGUCGAUACGGGCCGACUUGAGUGUUGCAGGGGAGACUGGAAUUCCUGGUGUAGCGGUGAAAUGCGCAGAUAUCAGGAGGAACACCGGUGGCGAAGGCGGGUCUCUGGGCA
rnacentral:rRNA from 1 species